rnacentral:rRNA from 1 species
CUUGAGUGCAGAAGAGGAAAGUGCAAUUCCAAGUGUAGCGGUGAAAUGCGUAGAGAUUUGGAGCAACACCAGUGGCGAAGGCGACUUUCUGGUCUGUAACUGACACUGAGGCGCGAAAGCGUGGGGAGCGAACAGGAUUAGAUACCCUGGUAGUCCACGCCGUAAACGAUGAGUGCUAAGUGUUAGAGGGUUUCCGCCCUUUAGUGCUGCAGCUAACGCAUUAAGCACUCCGCCUGGGGAGUACGGUCGCAAGACUGAAACUCAAAGGAAUUGACGGGGGCCCGCACAAGCGGUGGAGCAUGUGGUUUAAUUCGAAGCAACGCGAAGAACCUUACCAGGUCUUGACAUCCCACUGACCGGUAUAGAGAUAUACCUUUCCCUUCGGGGACAGUGGUGACAGGUGGUGCAUGGUUGUCGUCAGCUCGUGUCGUGAGAUGUUGGGUUAAGUCCCGCAACGAGCGCAACCCUUGAUCUUAGUUGCCAGCAUUUAGUUGGGCACUCUAAGGUGACUGCCGGUGACAAACCGGAGGAAGGUGGGGAUGACGUCAAAUCAUCAUGCCCCUUAUGACCUGGGCUACACACGUGCUACAAUGGAUGGUACAAAGGGCUGCGAGACUGCGAAGUCAAGCCAAUCCCAUAAAACCAUUCUCAGUUCGGAUUGCAGGCUGCAACUCGCCUGCAUGAAGCUGGAAUCGCUAGUAAUCGUGGAUCAGCAUGCCACGGUGAAUACGUUCCCGGGCCUUGUACACACCGCCCGUCACACCACGAGAGUUUGUAACACCCGAAGCCGGAGGGGU